CGCCCGUUAGCUCAGUUGGUUGGUGUCUCGUGCUAAUAACGCGAUGGUCGCGGGUUCGAUCCCCUCACGGGCCA
rnacentral:tRNA from 1 species